CCAUAUUGGCUUCUUUUACGUGGCAAAUGGGUCAAAUUUCUUCCUUGUCUGUUUGUGGCUUCGUAGCUCAUUUCUUUUGAUCUCUGUAAAUAUCACACUGUCUGGAUGGACCAGUGUCUUUAUCCACUCACCUAUUGGAAGGCAUCUAAACUUUGACAAUUGUUCCCUACCGGGUCUUCUCGUGGUCGGUGGCGGACAGUGGGUGUAACCGCGGACGAGGCCGUGCAGUGCUCGCCUCGGAUCCUUGGCGGCCGGCCUCCGGGGCACUGACCAGCUCGUGUGAAGGGAACACUCUGGGUGGUCUACUGCUUAGGACGGCCGCUGGCACGCUCUUCAGGCAAUAACUUGGGAAAAUGCCAACGUUCGAGAACUCGAUACAGAACUCUAAGUCUCGAUGAUGUUUUGCCUGUCGACUUGAGCUGGAAUAUCUGGCCGUGUUAGUCUACACUCAGCAUGUGACAAACCAUUUCCAAAUCCUCUAACAACAGGCUUCUAAUUCAGUAUGCCACGGGAUAAAUACUCCAGAUCUUUGACACUGAAGGAGAAAGCUUUCAGCAAUUUUAAGUCCAGGGAUGAUGAAUGUCAGAAAUGUAAUUUCUAAACUUGGUAGUGGUGCUUUUACUAAAUUCGAUUCACACCGUGAAUGUCCUUCAAAGAACAUGCAAAAAAAAAAUGUUUUUUAAUUCAAUUGUUUAUGACUAAAACCUAAGUUUCAACAGAAAUUCAGCUAAACUUGGAAACUCAGAGUUAAAAGAUUAAGAAAAUGUUCUGCUCUUGUGUAUGGAUAGAUGAUGAUGUUGUAGACCAAUAGCGUUUGCCGUUUGUGACCAAAUAGUGGUAAAAAGUAAGACCAUGAAUUACUGGGCUUUUGAUUAGCAUUAAAAUUCUGAAAAUUAAAAAAAAAGUGAGAGGGAGAGAGAAUGAAAAAAUGAAAGGAAGGGAAAGAGAAAGAGAGAAGAGGAAAGAAGGGAAGGAAAUCGGAAUUUGGAAGUUCCCUCGAGUGGCCUCACUCUCUCACGUCCCCCCGUGAUGCAGGGUGACGGUUUGGGCGGCUGGGGCCCCUCGCCAGCACUUGGCCCCUUCAUUUCAGCCCUUCUGCCACCUGUGUGGUACGUGGUAACGGUUUUAACUUGCGUUUUCCUAGUGAGUAAAGAGGUUAAACAUCGUUUCCGGUACUUCUCAGUUGCAGGUGUAUCAUCUUUAGUGAAACGUCUGUUCGAAUGUUACGCUCGUUUAAAAAUACAGCCUUCAACCGCCAGCUCCCAAAUGGGGUUCAUAUUCACCCCCUCCCACACUCUCUAGUUCCGAUCCUCAUUUUCUCUUAUGGAGACUCCCUGCCCGUCUCCCAGCCACGGCCCCGCCACCUGCACUGCGCCCCCGCCACGCUACCACAAGAAGCGCGUCCACGCGUGGGGCUCACGUCCUCCCGCGCAGGCGUCGCCAGAGGGUGCCGAGCGACAGGGUCUUUCCACCGUCCUUCAGCUGCCACGUGGGCACCUUCUCGAUCUGCUGCUCCCCUGUCCGUUUCACCCUGGCGCCCAUCCCCUACCCCCCUUCUCACUUUAUUUUCACCAACAUCAGCCUAAAUGCAGCCCUGGGAAAGCCUCCUUGGAAGAGCAGGGGCUCUCCCACACUUUCGGCCCCUACAGGUAUGACUUCUGCCGAGACCGUUUCUCCUCGAGUCAUAUUGGAGCCACACUCUCUGAGCAGACUGGAGGUCCCUCUGCCCUCGUAAUUUUCCAUAACGCAAACAUCCCAUUGUAUUCUCAUGGUACGUCUGUCUCCACACUAGACCGCAGGUCUCCUGAGGACAAAACUGUGUUCUGCCUUUGACCUCUGUCAUCUGAUGCGAGCCUGACCACAGUGGGCCACGUAUCGGGUGACCUGCCCCUGUGCUACUCCCCUGGGUACCAGGGCUUGGGGGAUAUAGUGUUGAUCCUGUUAAACUGCCCCACCCAGUCUGCAGGAACUGUCAUUGAACUGAACUCCCUAGGUGACCCCCAGCCCCAGAAUAACAACUGAUGACAGGAAAGAACAGGGUAAGACUCUCGGUCCUAAGGACACAGUGGCAGCCACAGGUGCCUGCGUGGGGCUCCCCAGGGCCCCACCCUGAGACACAUUUUCUCCCUUCCCAUUUACAUACUUUCCUCACAGUCUAGGCUCCACGGCCUUCUCUGUAUUCUUUUCAUUUUGGUUAAGAAAUAAACAAUACAUAAAACUACAAAGUAUAACAUAACCACCCAGUAUAAAUAGUAACAUCCAAAAAACCAGAUCUGAUCUAUUUGCUUCAGAUUUCUCAAACAAGAAGAAAUGCCCAUCACAGAAUGUGACAAUCACCUAGAUUCCCUCUUCAGUCCCCUCAUCUUCAAGGACAACCACAGUCAUGGGCCUAAUGAGUCUCCAAUCCAUAUUUUCAUACUUUUACGACACUCGCUCUCUGCGUGUGGUGUUGGUAGUGUUGCUUUGGGUUUCCUCACGACGGCAAACCCUGUAUUAUUCUCCAGUGAACUGUUCUCCCUCUUGCUUCCUUCCUUCACCAGAAAGGUCUUCGGUUCUGGUGAGCCCGCCCUGUCUUGAGGGUCACCUCGAAGCAAACCUCUGAUGAGCUCUUGUGGAGAGAAGUGUCCGAAAUCACCCAGGCCAAAGAAAUGCUGGGAAGGGUGCUGUUCUGUGACACCCACCGGUCUCAUGUCGGGCUCCCACACCAUCUCGUGUUUCUUGCUUCUUGGCCUUUUGUGAUUAUUUUCUAGGAUGGGCUUGAUUUCACCUUCUAUCUCUUCUACCACAUUUUUGUUCUCUCAUUUCAGAGAGUCACUGUCCUCAGAUAAUUUUGCUUUCAUGGCGUCCUGUUGUUAAUGCGGGUAUAAUAAACUUAUAUUUUUAAAAA